rnacentral:rRNA from 1 species
UUUCCAGACUCCUACGGGAGGCAGCAGUGGGGGAUAUUGCACAAUGGGGGGAACCCUGAUGCAGCGACGCCGCGUGGGUGAAGAAGCGCCUCGGCGCGUAAAGCCCUGUCAGCAGGGAAGAAAAUGACGGUACCUGAAGAAGAAGCCCCGGCUAACUACGUGCCAGCAGCCGCGGUAAUACGUAGGGGGCAAGCGUUAUCCGGAUUUACUGGGUGUAAAGGGAGCGUAGGCGGUGAUGCAAGUCAGAAGUGAAGGCCCGCAGCUCAACUGCGGGACUGCUUUUGAAACUGUAUGACUAGAUUGCAGGAGAGGUAAGUGGAAUUCCUAGUGUAGCGGUGAAAUGCGUAGAUAUUAGGAGGAACACCAGUGGCGAAGGCGGCUUACUGGACUGUAAAUGACGCUGAGGCUCGAAAGCGUGGGGAGCAAACAGGAUUAGAUACCCUCGUA